rnacentral:rRNA from 1 species
GACGAACGCUGGCGGCGUGCCUAAUACAUGCAAGUAGAACGCUGAAGGAGGAGCUUGCUCUUCUGGAUGAGUUGCGAACGGGUGAGUAACGCGUAGGUAACCUGCCUGGUAGUGGGGGAUAACUAUUGGAAACGAUAGCUAAUACCGCAUAACAGUAGAUGUUGCAUGACAUUUGCUUAAAAGGUGCAAUUGCAUCACUACCAGAUGGACCUGCGUUGUAUUAGCUAGUUGGUGGGGUAACGGCUCACCAAGGCGACGAUACAUAGCCGACCUGAGAGGGUGAUCGGCCACACUGGGACUGAGACACGGCCCAGACUCCUACGGGAGGCAGCAGUAGGGAAUCUUCGGCAAUGGACGGAAGUCUGACCGAGCAACGCCGCGUGAGUGAAGAAGGUUUUCGGAUCGUAAAGCUCUGUUGUAAGAGAAGAACGAGUGUGAGAGUGGAAAGUUCACACU